rnacentral:rRNA from 1 species
GAUGAACGCUAGCUACAGGCUUAACACAUGCAAGUCGAGGGGCAUCACAGUGUAGCAAUACACGGGUGGCGACCGGCGCACGGGUGCGUAACACGUAUCCAAUCUGCCCGUUACUCGGGGAUAGCCUUCUGAAAGGAAGAUUAAUACCCGAUGGCAUGUAUUUCCGGCAUCGGAGAUACAUUAAAGAUUUAUCGGUAACGGAUGAGGAUGCGUACGAUUAGCUGGUUGGCGGGGUAACGGCCCACCAAGGCGACGAUCGUUAGGGGUUCUGAGAGGAAGGUCCCCCCACACUGGAACUGAGACACGGUCCAGACUCCUACGGGAGGCAGCAGUGGGGAAUAUUGGGCAAUGGGCGAAAGCCUGACCCAGCAACGCCGCCGUGAAGGAAGAAGGUCUUCGGAUUGUAAACUUCUUUUAUAAGGGAAGAAAAAUGACUGUACCUUAUGAAUAAGCCACGGCUAACUACGUG